AAUGAUAAUAAUCAAGGUUCAUAAAUAAAUCGUAGAAUCGUAUUCUGUUAUAUCAAUCCCGACAAUGAGAAUUUAUAAAAGUCCGAUCGUAAAAGGACAAUUUUUGUUCGAAUAAUUUGACUGAAAUAUUUAAUUUCAAAAUACAAUUAUUAAAUUAAUAACCGUAGUUAUCGUAUAUUAAGUAAAUCGGGAGAGGGUUUAACCACCGCACCCGCGCACGCCACUAUAUUUAUUUGUUAUAUACUUCAGACAUAGUAUUAAUUUUAAAUAUUUAAUAUCUGCUUCUUGCACAAUUUUAAAAACUGCAGUUGUACGAUGGUUAUUGUACACAGUCUUUCAAUUUGAUUUACCUCGAAAUGUAUACUGAAAAAAAAAAUACACGAACGGUGAAAUUAAACAUAAAACUUUAUAAUCUUUCGAAUUUACAAUGAACAAAAUUCUAUACUUUGUACUAUAUUGUACAGUGUUGCAGUUGAGGUAAACGAGAAUCGAAACGAGUUUUCAAUACCCGGUUUCUUUGUAUCUCACUUUUUUUUAUACUUAUUUUAAAGUUUU